AUUCAUAAGGUCUAGCAUGCCGCCCGAGCAUCCAUCCCUCUCAACAAAUAUCUCAUGAAGCUCUCAUGCUAGCCUAGAGAAAAUGGAGAAGAAAAUAGUCUAGGAAAAAGAGAAAGAGGAAGGGGGGAAUGAAACCCUAAGUCGCGGAGAGAGGGAGCCAUCCACCCACACUCAUGGCUUAUAUAUCUGGUCCCGCCGAUGUGGUAAAUGACUCGACUACCCCUAACUCAACUACUGGCGAUACAACCCACGUAGGGGCAUUUAUGUAAUGUUUGUGGGUCUUUCCAUCGGACGGCCACGCCUUCGCCGCACCCCGCGUCCUCCCGACGCAAGCCAUGCGAUCCCGCCGCGUGUCCUCCGCUUCGAAGCUUCCCGACACGCCCGGAUCCCGUCUCCGUCAUGUUGGGCCUUCGGACUUGGUUUUGAGGCCCAAACCAAGAAACCGCCCUCAGAUGGUUUUGUGGGCAAACCACCAAACCCCGCGUGCUUGGCCCGGCCUCCCGCCAAGCCUCUUGACUCGACCGCCACCGUGCACCGGCUCGAUCGUCCACGACUUCGUCUUGCUCGUCUCGCCACCAUGUGGCCCGCACCGAGUCCCGCUGUCCACCGGGUCCCUCGAACCGAGCCUACUUGUCUCUCCAUCUCUCGGAGGCCCCUCAAGGUUGAAGACCUUUCGCGCCCAUUCUUCACCUGCAACAACACGUACUAGGCCGCAGCCUACACCUGCGCAUUGAGCCAAGAGUCAGUCCAACACCCGUUGUCAAUAACUCAUCACUUAGGAGCGGUCAUCCAUCGACCACCAGGACGCUCCUGGUCCUCAAGUAGUCGGAGGGGCCGACAUGGUUUCUUCGGGAGCCUUCCUCGAGCAUCGAACAAUCGACUCAGAACUGGUACGGACAAGGGGACUCUGACUGUUUAAUUAAAACAAAGCAUUGCGAUGGUCCUUGCGGAUGCUGACACAAUGUGAUUUCUGCCCAGUGCUUUGAAUGUCAAAGUGAAGAAAUUCAACCAAGCGCGGGUAAACAACAGAGUAACUAUGACUCUCUAAAGGUAGACAAAUGCCUCGUCAUCUAAUUAUUAACGUGCAUGAAUGGAUUAACGAGAUUCCAACUGUCCCUAUCUACUAUCCAGCGAAAUCAUAGCCAAGGGAACGGGCUUGGCGGAAUCAGCAGGGAAAAAAGACCCUGUUGAGCUUGACUCUAGUCCGACUUUGUGAAAUGACUUGAGAGGUGUAGGAUAAGUGGGAGCUUUCGGGCACAAGUGAAAUACCACUACUUUUAACGUUAUUUUACUUAUUCUAUGAGUUGGAAGCGGGGUAUCGCCCCUCGUUUUGGCUCCAAGGCACAGCUUCGCUAUGCCAAUCCGGGCGGAAGACAUUGUCAGGUGGGGUGUUUGGCUAGGGUGGCACAUCUGUUCAAAGAUAACGCAGGUGUCUUAAGAUGAGCUCAACAAGAACAGAAAUCUCAUGUGGAACAAAAGGGUAAAAGCUCGUUUGAUUCUGAUUUCUAGUACGAAUACGAACCGUGAAAGCGUGGCCUAUCGAUCCUUUAUAUCUUCGGAGUUUGAAGCUAGAGGUGUCAGAAAAGUUACCAUAGGGUUAAUUGGCUUAUGGCAGCCAAGCGUUCAUAGCGACGUUGCUUUUUGAUCCUUUGAUGUUGGCUCUUCCUAUCAUUGUGAAGCAGAAUUCACCAAGUGUUGGAUUACUCACCCACCAAUAGGCAACGUGAGCUGGGUUUAGAUUGUCGUGAGACAGGUUAGUUUUACCCUACUAAUGAUCAUGCCGCGAUAGUAAUUCAAUCUAGUACGAGAGGAACCAUUGAUUCACACAAUUGGUCAUCGCACUUGGUUGAAAAGCCAGUGGCGCGAAGCUAUCGUGUGACAGAUUAUGACUGAACGCCUCUAAGUCAGUAUCCAGGAUAGCAACCGGCGCCUGUGCCCGCCGCUCGCCCCGACCCACAUUGGGGUAUUCACACCCCAGGGGCCCGUGCCAUUGGCUAAGCCUGCCCGUAUGAUGAGCCGUGGCAGGCCGCCUCGAAGCUCCCUUCCUCACGGGCGGCGGGCUAAAUCCUUUGCAGACGUCUUAAAUACACGACGAGGCAUUGUGAGUGGCAGAGUGGCCUUGCUACCACGAUCCACUGAGAUCCAGCCCCACUUCGCACGGAUUCGUCCCUCCCCCUAAAC
rnacentral:rRNA from 1 species